GCCUGGCUGGCUCAAUUGGUAGAGCAUGUGACUCUUGAUCUCAGGGUCAUGAGUUCAAGCCCCAUGUUGGGAA
rnacentral:tRNA from 1 species